GACGAACGCUGGCGGCGUGCUUAACACAUGCAAGUCGAACGAUGAAACCUAGCUUGCUGGGUCGAUUAGUGGCGAACGGGUGAGUAACACGUGCCUAACCUGCCCCUUUCUCUGGGAUAACGCUCCGAAAGGAGUGCUAAUACCGGAUACUCACACCGAGGCACAUGCCUUGGUGUGGAAAGUCUUUCGGAAAGGGAAGGAGUCGCGGCCUAUCGGCUUGUUGGUGAGGGAACGGCUCACCGGGGCGACGACGGGUAGCCGGCCUGAGAGGGCGACCGGCCAAACUGGGACUGAGACACGGCCCAGACUCCUACGGGAGGCAGCAGUGGGGAAUAUUGCACAAUGGGCGCAAGCCUGAUGCAGCGACGCCGCGUGAGGGAUGAAGGUCUUCGGAUUGUAAACCUCUUUCAGUAGGGACGAAGCGAAAGUGACGGUACCUAAAGAAGAAGCACCGGCUAACUACGUGCCAGCAGCCGCCGUAA
rnacentral:rRNA from 1 species